GAUGAAGAACGUAGUGAAAUGCGAUAAGUAAUGCGAAUUGCAGAAUUCAGUGAAUCAUCGAAUCUUUGAACGCACAUUGCGCCCGCUAGUAUUCUGGCGGGCAUGCCUGUCUGAGCGUCAUUUCAACCCUCGCCCCCGGCUUUUGCUGGGAGCGGUGUUGGGGAUCGGCCGCCCGUCACUGGGAGGCCGGCCCCGAAAUAGAGUGGCGACCACGCCGUGUGCUCCUCUGCGUAGUAGUAAAUCACCUCGCAGGCGGACAGCGGUGCGGCCUGCCGUAAAACCCCCAACUCUUUCCGGUUGACCUCAGAUCAGGUAGGAAUACCCGCUGAACUUAAGCAUAUCAAUAAGCGGAGGA
rnacentral:misc_RNA from 1 species